GCAACAUAGACCAUGUGAGCAUCACCACCAUCAGACGCAUCUUGGGUAAACACAGCAUCACCAUGAAGCAGCUCUACAGAGUCCCAUUCGAGAGGAACAGUGACAGGGUCAAAGGACUUCGAGCUGAAUAUGUACGGAGAAUCUUGGCCAUGGAUGGAGCUGCACAGCCUCAUGAAUACAUUUUCAUUGAUGAAGCUGGAUUCGACCUGAGCAAUGCGGCGACAUUCAGGUGACAGCAUGGAUGGUUUUGACAUGGAAGAGGAUAUUUUCCCCAGUGCCUAGCGGGAGAAGACAUUGCUUGCGAUGUUGAUGAGGUCCUGUGGCCAGACCCCAACAGACGGCGGGAUCCAUGAGCCCACGUAUGCACAAUUGUCAUGAUUUUUUGUUUACAGUAUAGUGUUUUUUCUAUUACUGUAUUAUGGGGUUUUUUUGUUUUUGUUUUUUUUGCUUUAUCUGAAUUCAUGGUACUGCGAUGUACACUAUUGAGUAGGUCUAUUUGCGUUUUUGGUUGUUUGGAAAUGUGUCUCCUGUAAAUGUGCCUUCUGAAUACACAAUGGAAAUCAAGGACUGCAGUGUUUUAUGUAAAGAAGACUAGUGUGUUCCCCCUGAUCUGUAAGUGUUUGCAUAUGAUGCAAGUAUGUGUCAUUUUGUCAACAGAGUUACAUUUUGACAAAGGAAUGUUAGGUUUUGACAGCAGAGUUUAGGUUUUGGGAGUAGAGUUCCAAUUUGGCACAGAUGUGAAUAGUAUAUUUCCCAGUGUUGUGUCAUGUGUACUUGUGUGUACAGUUUUGGCACAGCGAGCG
ensembl:lncRNA